GUAUAAGAGACAGCAGUAGCCGCGGGAAUACAGAGGGUGCGAGCGUUAAUCGGAUUUACUGGGCGUAAAGCGUGCGUAGGCGGCUUCUUAAGUCGGAUGUGAAAUCCCUGAGCUUAACUUAGGAAUUGCAUUCGAUACUGGGAAGCUAGAGUAUGGGAGAGGAUGGUAGAAUUCCAGGUGUAGCGGUGAAAUGCGUAGAGAUCUGGAGGAAUACCGAUGGCGAAGGCAGCCAUCUGGCCUAAUACUGACGCUGAGGUACGAAAGCAUGGGGAGCAAACAGGAUUAGAGACCCGAGUAGUCCCUGUCUCUUAUAC
rnacentral:rRNA from 1 species